UAGGGAAUCUUCGGCAAUGGGGGCAACCCUGACCGAGCAACGCCGCGUGAGUGAAGAAGGUUUUCGGAUCGUAAAGCUCUGUUGUAAGAGAAGAACGUGUGUGAGAGUGGAAAGUUCACACAGUGACGGUAACUUACCAGAAAGGGACGGCUAACUACGUGCCAGCAGCCGAGGUAAUACGUAGGUCCCGAGCGUUGUCCGGAUUUAUUGGGCGUAAAGCGAGCGCAGGCGGUUUAAUAAGUCUGAAGUUAAAGGCAGUGGCUUAACCAUUGUUCGCUUUGGAAACUGUUAAACUUGAGUGCAGAAGAGGAGAGUGGAAUUCCAUGUGUAGCGGUGAAAUGCGUAGAUAUAUGGAGGAACACCGGUGGCGAAAGCGGCUCUCUGGUCUGUAACUGACGCUGAGGCUCGAAAGCGUGGGGAGCAAACAGG
rnacentral:rRNA from 1 species